rnacentral:tmRNA from 1 species
GGGGGUGACAGGCUUCGACUCUGGUCGUCGAUGUGGGAGAAGCGAGCCGUGGUCUCCGGAGCCACGUUAAAGAGCCGGAACAAAAAACAAACGCCGAGCCUCAGCUCGCGCUCGCUGCCUAGAAACAGCGACGUCCGACCGGUCUCAGUCCUGCGGGCCGGAUCCGGGCGACAUCAAGUGGGACUUACCUGAGCGGUUGCGCCGACUGAUCACCAGGGACAUCUAAGUCGGAUACGGACCGCCGCUGCCGCCGGUAGCGGUGGUGGUCCCGACAAUCCAACACCGGCUGCGCUCGGAGAAGACCCACUGAGAAGCCGGAGGACGCGGGUUCGAUUCCCGCCACCUCCACGA